rnacentral:rRNA from 1 species
CUGAGACACGGCCCAAACUCCUACGGGAGGCAGCAGUGGGGAAUAUUGGACAAUGGGCGCAAGCCUGAUCCAGCCAUGCCGCGUGAGUGAUGAAGGCCCUAGGGUUGUAAAGCUCUUUUGUGCGGGAAGAUAAUGACGGUACCGCAAGAAUAAGCCCCGGCUAACUUCGUGCCAGCAGCCGCGGUAAUACGAAGGGGGCUAGCGUUGCUCGGAAUCACUGGGCGUAAAGGGCGCGUAGGCGGCCAUUCAAGUCGGGGGUGAAAGCCUGUGGCUCAACCACAGAAUUGCCUUCGAUACUGUUUGGCUUGAGUUUGGUAGAGGUUGGUGGAACUGCGAGUGUAGAGGUGAAAUUCGUAGAUAUUCGCAAGAACACCAGUGGCGAAGGCGGCUCACUGGCCCGAUACUGACGCUGAGGCACGAAAGCGUGGGGAGCAAACAGG